rnacentral:rRNA from 1 species
UACGAAGGGGGCUAGCGUUGCUCGGAAUCACUGGGCGUAAAGGGUGCGUAGGCGGGUCUUUAAGUCAGGGGUGAAAUCCUGGAGCUCAACUCCAGAACUGCCUUUGAUACUGAAGAUCUUGAGUUCGGGAGAGGUGAGUGGAACUGCGAGUGUAGAGGUGAAAUUCGUAGAUAUUCGCAAGAACACCAGUGGCGAAGGCGGCUCACUGGCCCGAUACUGACGCUGAGGCACGAAAGCGUGGGGGAGCAAAACAGG